rnacentral:piRNA from 1 species
UAUGUUAAUGGAGAUGAUUGUC